UUAAGUUCAGCGGGUAUUCCUACCUGAUCCGAGGUCGACCUUGUAAAAUAUUUUCCCGGUUAAAGGAAGAAGGACCGUGGCCCGGGCACCCUCAAGUCCGGUACGUGCUCGGUUAAGAAGCUCAGUGUACCGGGGGUCCCACGAGGCCGCCGUCAUUGUCUUUAGGAGGGGUCGAUUCUCACGACCAAGCCGUCCAACAC
rnacentral:misc_RNA from 1 species